UAGCUGGGUGUGGUGGUGGGUGCCUGUAAUCCCAGCUACUCCGGAGGCUGAGGCAGGAGAAUCACUUGAACCCGGGAGGCAGAGGUUGCAGUGAGCCAAGAUCGUGGCAUUGCACUCCAGCCUGGGCGACAGCGUAAGACUCCAUCUCAAAAAAAAAAAAAAAAAGGCGAUAUUCUUAGCUAGAAAAUUCAAAAUACACAUUCAGUAGUACCCCCUUAUCCACGGUUUCAGUUACCUGCGGUCAACUGUAGUCCAAAAAUAUUAAACUGAAAAUUCCAGAAAUAAUUCAUGUUUUCAGUUGCUUGCCAUUCUGAGUGGCGUGAUGAAAUCUCACACCGUCUUGCUUCACCCCUCCCGGCCUGUGAAUCCUCCGGCUGUUCAGUGUAUCUGAACUGUAGAUGCUACUUGCCCAUUAGUCUCUUAGUAGCUGUUAGUUAUCAGACCAAUCCAUGGUAUUGCAGUGCUUGUGUUCAAGUAACCCUUAUUUGACUCAAUUGUUGUGUUUAUUAUUCGUUAUUGUUGUUAAUCGCUUCCUUAGUAAGCGCCUAUUUUGUAAAUUAAACUCGAUCAUAGAUAUGUAGGUAGGAAAAACAUAGUAUAUAAAAGGUUUGGGCGUCGAUCAGCGAGGGAGCAGCAAAUGGCCGGCGGUUGGCGCCUCGCGGGGGGCGGGCGGCGCAGAGUAGGGGGCGGUGGCCAGGGCCGAGGCGUCGCAGCAGCUAGGACGGUUCUUCUGCCACUGCUGCUCCCUGGACACCGUCCCGCGCCUAUCGGAUUAUAUCUGCCCAAGAUGUGCGUCUGAUUUUAUCGAGGAGCUUCCUGAAGAGACCAGGAGCACAGAAAACAGCUCUGCCCCUUCCACUGCCCCCACGGACCAGAGCCGGCCGCCGUUGGAGAACGCGGACCAGCACCUGUUCACGCUGCCGCAGGGCUACGGACAGUUUGCUUUCGGCAUCUUUGACGACAGCUUCGAGAUCCCCACGUUCUCUCCUGGGGCGCAGGCUGACGGCAGCAAGGACCCUGAGAGACCGUGGGAGACAGAGCAUCAGUCCCGGCCCCGUACUGCGCCCGGCAGCCCCGCCUCCGCCUCCCCACGCGGCGGGCCACCGGCCGGCACGAAGGCCUCCCCACGCUAGAAGGGAUCAUCCAGCAGCUCGUCAACGGCAUCAUCACGCCCGCCACCAUCCCCAGCCUGGGUCCUUGGGGAGUCCUGCACUCAAACCCUAUGGAUUACGCCUGAGUGGCCAACGGCCUGGACGCCUUCGCACAGCUCCUCAAUCAGUUUGAAAACACGGGCCCCCCACCGGCAGAUGAAGAGAAAAUCCAGUACCUCCCCACCGUCCCCGUCACCGAGGAGCACGUAGGCUCCGGGCUCGAGUGCCCCGUGUGCAAGGACGACUACGCGCUGGGCGAGCAGCUGCCCCGCAACCACCUGUUCCACGAUGGCUGCAUAGUGCACCGGCUGGAGCAGCACGACAGCUGCCCCGUCUGCCGAAAAAGCCUCCCGGGACACAACACGGCCACGAACACCCCCGCCCCGGGCCCGACUGGGAUGAACUGCUCCUCCUCGUCGUCCUCCCCCUCCUCCAGCUCGCCCAGUAAAGAGAACGCCACAAGUAACUCCUGAGCCCGCGUGGGCCGGCACCCACCACUGCCCGCUGCGCCUGAGGCUGCGGGGAAACCGCGGGGACUUUCCCAACCACCCUCAGCCAGGGCCGCACGGCACCCACAGACUGGGUGCCCCAGAGGCGCCAGUCUUGGCUGGUCAGCGCUACAGGCCCCGCCUGUUCCAGGGCAGGAUCCUGGACCGGCCCACCGGCUCCCUGGCUCGGGAAGGCGUGGGCCACAUGGUCCCCUCUGGGGCGCCUUCAGCCUCCCCGUCUUUUGUCUAACCUCACCCUCUAAACGUUCAGCGGUGGAAAGAUUUUUAGAAUUUUAAAUUAUUACUGCUUUGAAAUAAAUGGAAGUUUUAGCUCACAUGGCGGCCAUGCAUGAUCUGUGGCAAGACGGGGCACCGCUGCUCCACCAGUGCUGCGAGCGCCGUCAGAAUAGGCCGCGUGGGCUCCCAGCCUUCCCCUCGGCUGCCUCCAGGACCUGGAGUUUGGGGGCUCGGGACCAUGAGAAUGACCAGCAAAAUUCAGGAACAAAACUGCUCCAACGGACUUUUUUUUUUUUUUUUUUUUUUUUUUUUUUUGAGGAAGUCUAGCUCUGUCGCCCAGGCUGGAGUACAGUGGCACAAUCUCGGCGGCUCACUGCAACUUCCGCUUCCCGGGUUCAAGCGAUUCUUCUGCCUCAGCCUCCUGAGUAGCUGGGAUUACAGGCGUGUGCCACCACGCCUGGCUAAUUUUUUGUGUUUUUAGUAGAGAUGGGGUUUCACCAUGUUGCCCAGGCUGGUCUCAAACUCCUGACCUCGUGAUCCGCCCGCCUUGGCCUCCCAAAGUGCUGGGAUUACAGGCGUGAGCCACCGCGCCCGGCCACCAACAGACUUUUUUAAAGGAAAAAAUAUGUGUGUCUUGAAAGCUAUUUAAAAUACACUACCUACAAAGAUUAAAAAAAAAAAAGGUUUUGUACUAUCUGUGAUUUUAGGCAUCCACUGGGGGUUUAGGAACAUGUCCCCCAUGGGUAAGGGGGAACUACUGGAUUUACUGUAUUUAUGAAAUCUGUAUUGUGGUCAGCACUGGGAUUGGCUCUGGAUGAACACAAGGAAUAAGCCCUCUGCACUCAAAGAAACUGCAACAAAUGGAGGGAAACCUCCAAAUAAACCAAUAAGUGUGUCCUGACCAACAGGGGUGCAUGCAAAGAAGGAAAUGACGUGGGUACUGUGGUUGCGAAUAAUAGAAGGAAGCUUUAUGUGGUGGAACCUAUUUCAGAGGAUGCUUAAUAAAGGCUUCCAUGUGGAGGUGAUGUUUAGGUUCAGAUCUGAAGGAGAAAAAGGAGCCUGCAGCCACAGCUUGUAGAAGAGAGUUCCAGACACAGGGAAUGCCUAUGGCCAGCGCUGAAUAAGACAAGACAAGACAGAAAUUGACUCCUGGAAGGGGAUGUUUGGGGAGUGCAGGACUCAGUCGCCUCAUCACAUGAGCCUCCCCACAGGGCUGCCUCAUGACAUGGCAGCUGGCUUCCUCUAGGGUGAGCAAUCCAAGAGACCUCAGUGAGAAAGAGGACCCAAAAUAAAAGCCAUGGUCUUUUAUAAUUUUGGAAGUGACAUUCCAUCCCUUCUGCUGCAUUCUAUUUCUUAGGAGUGAGUGAAUAUAUCCAGUGUACAGUCGAGGAAUGUACAAAUACAAGAAUACCAGGAGGUGGGACUCCCUGGCGGCCAUCUGAGAGGCUGCCUCCCAUAUUCAAAUAAAUAACACUGUGGCAAUAAUAAGAUUGGCUCCCAUGUAUUGAGCAGUUGCUAUAAAUCAGGGGUGGUAUUAGGCCCUUACAUACAUGAUCUCACCAUGUCUCCUGUGUUCACUCAGGAUUCAUUAGGCACCAGGCACUGCAAGUUCUAGAGAACAGAAUGGCAAAUGAGGAACACUCCUGCUCUUGAGGUGCUCAUGUCUACAGGAAUAAUUUGUUCUGAUUUUACAAAGGAGGACAAGAAAGGUCACACACUAAGUGGCUGAGCUAGGAGGCCCAAGCUGCUCAAUGUGACUUUGAGGCCAGAAAUGUUUGUGAAGACAGCAUACUCCUGAAUCCACCAUCCCGGAAAACAUCAGCAGGCACCAAAAAGGCCUCUUCACACAUUGUCUAAGAACAAUUGUGAGGAAGAAACAAGUCACAAAGAAUAUAUACAAUAUCAUUCCUUUUUCUUUUUCUUUUUUUUUUUUUUUUUUUUUUUGAGACAGGGUCUUCCUCUGUUGCCCAGGCUGGCAUGCAGUGGCGUGAUUUCGGCUCACUGCAACCUCCACAGUGUUCAAGCAAUUCUCCUGCCUCAACCUCCCGAGUGGCUGAGAUUACAGGUGCCUGCCACCAUGCCCAGCUAAUUUUUUUGUAUUUUCAGUAGCGGCAGGGUUUUACCACAUUGGCCAGGCUGGUCUCGAACUCCUGACCUCAGGUGAUCCACCUGCCUUGGCCUCCCAAAGUGCUAUUACAGACAUGAACCUCCACACCCGGUCUAAUUCCAUUUAUAUGAUAUUCACAAACUGAUGCUUGUUUAUGGGGCACAUUUAGUUGUAACACUAAAGAGGAAAGAAAGAAAACGGUUUCCACAAGUUAGGAUAGUGGCUACUUCUGGGGGAGGGAAGGAGAU
rnacentral:lncRNA from 1 species